UACGUAGGGGGCUAGCGUUGUCCGGAAUCAUUGGGCGUAAAGAGCGCGUAGGCGGCCCGGUAAGUCCGCUGUAAAAGUCCAGGGCUCAACCCUGGAAAGCCGGUGGAUACUGUCGGGCUCGAGUCCGGAAGAGGCGAGUGGAAUUCCUGGUGUAGCGGUGAAAUGCGCAGAUAUCGGGAGGAACACCUAUGGCGAAGGCAGCUCGCUGGGACGUUACUGACGCUGAGACGCGAAAGCGUGGGGAGCAAACAGG
rnacentral:rRNA from 1 species